UCGGCUUCUUUUACAUUAUACGUACUUGUCUUUAAUUCAGCUUCUUCACCGUUCAUAGGUUUAAUCAUUGAUCUUCAUUACCUUAUGGUCAAACCAUACAUGGGGUGUAGGUUCUACCCGUUUAAUAUUCGCGUACACUUAACCUUUAUGUCGGUUCAAGUGUUCAACGCUUAUAUUUCAUUCUAAUAUUCUCCUUUGAUUCACAUUCGACUUUCGUUAAUCUUAUUACCAUUCACUACGACUUUCUUGAUAAUUCCUAUCUUACUUACUACAUUCGUCAACGUUUAAGUUAUACAACCAAUGUACACUUAGAACGUUCGCUCGUCAUGAAUACAAUUCAUGAGAAUCGUUUACGUAUUCCACGUUUACGUUGUUCAUCCCUUAAUCCCUCAUUCAACCUUUAUCGAAGGUUUUAAUCGCUUUCAUUCAUUACUCGUCACCUGAAACCCAUGUUUAUUAUUCUUUCUUAAUGUCGAAGCCAUACAAUUCGUUGUAUGCUAAGACUGAUCGCUCAUCGCAACAGCGUUGCAGUCACAGCGUCUAAACGCUUUACAUUCAUCUCUCAUUACCAGGACAUAACAUCGAAAUGUUAUUCAUUACCCUCGUCAAUCAACGUCUAAGGAAUCACCAUCAUAGCAAUCCCUCAC
rnacentral:lncRNA from 1 species